GUUCCGGUGGACUAGUGCUUAGAGCGUCGGCCUCAAAUGCGGGAGGUCGUGGGUUUGAUCCCCGGCCGAUACA